UCGAAGGUUGAAAAUAGUCUGUAUAUAUAUAAAUCUAAUUUUAAAAAAAAAAAAGUCUUUAGCUUCGUUCAGCUUCGACAAGGAGAGAGAGAGAGAGAGAGGUUUACCUUCGAAGUCGUCUAGGGUCUUCGACUAUUCGAUCGAUUGAUGGAGCUUCGAUCUUCGACUGGAUGGAGCUUCGACUGGAGGUCUUCGAUCUUCGACUGGAUCGACUGGUUCAAGGAGGUGGUGGAUCGACUGGUUUAGGGCACUGAUGAUACUCUUCAAUCGAUUGAUUACUCUUCAAUUCAGCAACACUGAUAGACUAUAUUAGGGCAAGUUGAUUUUUUUUUAAUUAAUUAAUUAAUUUAUUUAUUUUUACUUUUUAAAUAUUACACUUGGACCCCAAAUAAAUAUAACAAAAUUAAAAUUCAGCUCCGUUGUUUUCCAUGCCAUGUCCUGAUAUGGACAUGCGUGUCCCCGCCAUGUCCCCUACAAAAAAAUUCAUUAAAUUAAAGGGACACGCCAAAUGGCGUGUCCCGUAUGUGUCCUCGUGUCCCUGCCGUGUCCGCGUGUCAGACACCGCCACGGCACCGAUUUUGGAGUGUCCAUGCUUCAUAAUUUCAAGUUUGAUGAUAUUUGAGGUUGAUGUUGCUAUUACACCGAAAUAUUCACUGAAUGUAUUGAUCGUUGAUUUCCUUUGGCUUGUUUCCAGACAGAUGAUUUGCAGGACCAUAUCAUUAUCUGUGGAUUUGGCCGUGUUGGCCAGAUCAUUGCGCAACUUCUUUCAUAACAACUUAUUCCAUUUGUUGCUCUUGAUGUGAGGAGGUUCAUUGUCUGACAUGCUGCUUGUAUUCCUGGCCAUGAGGUGCUCCAUAAAGUUGGUGCUGAAAGUGCAUGUGCAGCAGCAAUAACUUUAGAUAACCCCGGUGCAAACUAUAGAACAGUGUGGGCUUUGAGCAAGUAUUUCCCAAAUGUCAAGACAUUUGUCUGUGCUCAUGACGUUGAUCAUGGCCUCAUUUUGGAAAAGGCGGAAGCAACAGCGGUUGUCCCCGAGACCUUGGAACCUAGUCUCCAACUAGCUGCUGCUGUUCUUGCACAGGCUAAACUGCCCAUGUCAGAAAUAAAAGCUAUUAUCAACAAGUUUAGGUCCCACCAUCUUUCUGAGCUUACCGAGCUCUUUGAAGCAAGUGGAGGCUCUCUCGGUUAUGGAUACUCUCGGAUCAUGAGUAAACCCAAAUCUCAACCCUUUGAUUCUUCAGAUGAUAAUCAAAUCACUGAAGGAACACUGGUAAUAUAACCCAUCACUCGAAGAUAAGAACUGACAUAAUAAUAUUAAAAAACAGAUCACAAAGAACUGUACAGCGGUUUACUUGAACCCUUUGGUAUAAAUUGUAUAGAAAUAUAGUUGAAUUAGUGGCAGUAGCAAACACAUUUGUUGAUUAGUCACAUGGACAUUUUUGUUCUAAUAAUGCCCCCUGCGUGAAAGGGGCGGCUGUUCUUUUUCUUUCUUCAAUUGUAUUUUGAUCUGAUAAAUUUUGGUAGGCCCUCGUAAAACUGUCUAAAAGGACUUUCUUAUCUCACUAAUCACAUUGCAUUCCAUAAUCUUACAGUACUUUCUUAGCUGUUAGUUUUGAUCAUGUUGUAUAAUGCAAAUGGUCAAAAUGAUAUGAUGCUA